CAGCCGCCGCGGUAAGACAGAGGAUGCAAGCGUAUCCGGAAUGAUUGGGCGUAAAGCGUCUGUAGGUGGCUCUUCAAGUCCGCCGUCAAAUCCCAGGGCUCAACCCCGUGACGCACUGGAAACUGGGAGACUUGAGUGCAGAAGAGGAGAGCGGAAUUCCACGUGUAGCGGUGAAAUGCGUAGAGAUGUGGAGGAACACCAGUGGCGAAGGCGGCUCUCUGGACUGUAACUGACGCUGAGGCGCGAAAGCGUGGGGAGCAAACGGGAUUAGAUACCCCCGUAGUCCCUGUCUCUUAUACAC
rnacentral:rRNA from 1 species